CUCCAUGAUAGGAGCAUUUUAAUGUGGUACAUUGGAGUAAAUGAUGGUGAAAUGAGCAUUAGGUCCACACUUACCUAUAAAUGGUGGAGAAAAAUGGAAAUGUACUAAAAUGUCAAUUUUACACAUUUUCCUACUCCGGCUAGGAGAAACCAAGCCAAGCAAGGAAGAAGGAGCGGCCGCCGGACCAAAUGAACUUCAAAUGAGCUGAAACUUUCCAGAUCCAUUCUAGACAGCCCAAGGAUCAUUUCUUAUGAAGAGUGCAAGAACUUUUGUUGAGUGGAAGGCCUUCAAACAAUCAGCCCAAUUUUCUACAGAAGCAAAACUGGAAAACUGGACCUGUAAGAGGUCCAGCAGCAUUUUCGGCCCAACCACAUGGAAUAAAAAUCUGAAAUUUUACCAGGGUGAUCUACACUCAUAAUGGAACAUUUUUUAUGAAGAGGUCAUAGUGAAAUUGGGAAUGCUUGUUGGAGAAAUAAUUGAAGGAAUAAAGGGGCAGAAACUGAUCUAAAAAACAGCUCAACAUCACAUGUUCAUGUUUCCUACCCACAUGAAGAAAGCUAGAUGCUUUUCUCUUUUUCCUUGGAUAUAUUUUUCUGCUCCAAUAGAUCAUCAUCACUUCCAUACUUCUGCACAUUCAUGCCUUGCUUUCAUUUCAUCAUUACUCCAUCUUUUCCAUAUUUUACAAACCACUUUCAUUAUUUUUCUUCCAUUUAUCAUUUCACUCUUCUUUUUCUUCCCUAUAUAAACACCUUCUCCUCUCACUCUAAAAACAUUCCUUCAUCCAUUUCAUCUUCUUUGUCUCUCCAUUUCCAUUCCAUUUUUCUCUCCAUUCUCUAGUUGCAAAAUUCUGCGUUUUCAAGUAAGAAGAAGAAGAAGAAGAAGGAGCCGGGAAUAUCAUAUCCUCCAUCGUCCACCUUGAAGGCUUGCUUCCAAGAUUCAAGAUUUCAACGUUUCAAGCACUCCAUCUCCAUCUCCAACUCACGGUGUGUACCCUCAAUCCCCGGAAUAGAACGAUCCCUAUUUGCUUAUACUACUAACGAUGUUUUCAGGGUUAAAUUAUGCGCUUGCUUUGAGCGUAUCACUCCACCGCCGCCGCUCUGUCCCCACCGUCGGACCACCAGAGGAUGACGCCAUCCAACUCCACGAUCCCAACCCCUCUGCGCUUCGCCGGUUUUGUUCGUCAGAUGUCAGGGAAGCUCUGAAGCUCCACGCUGGAAUCGGGUCUGGGCUUCGCUGGCAGGGCUCGGACGACGUCGUUCUGUUUUUUUUUGGUAAAUUUGGCAGAAGGCUUAUAAGGAAAGAAGAAAGAAGAAUGAAAAAAAAAAGUUUUAUUGAGUAGUUAUACAUGUCUAUUGCGGGGCAAUAAUAUGAUUAUUGAGAGGCAAUAAUAUGAGUAUUGGGGGCAAUAAUAUGCAUAUAAAUUGAUCAAUUGUGCCUGUAGUGUAUUCAUUUUGGUUUUGGGAGUUUAUGCAAUUCACUGGAGGGCAAUAAUAUGAUUAUUGGAGGCAAUAAUAUGAUUAUUGGGAG